UCCGUCAUGGCGAAAUGGUAGCCGCGCCGCAUUUAAGCUGCCGUUCCUUCGGGAGUACAGGUUCGAGUCCUGUUGGCGGAG